UAAGAGACCUGAAGACAUUUUUUUAUCUAUGCUAUUUCAGGGAAAAGUUCGGGCUUCCAGAUAUCCUAAAAUCCAAACAUGAGGAAAAUGAAGCCUACAUAUCUGAAAUAGAGACUAUUGGUCAGGCAUAUGAUGAUAUGCAAGCUCAAAACCAGCAGCUCCUGCAGCAAAUUACAGAGAGAGAUAAUUAUAACGUCAAGCCGGUCAAGAUCUCCUCCAAGAAGAGAGUGAAUUGUUGAGCGUGAAGAGAAGCGAGCCAGGAGCUACAGUAGAAGACCGGUGCCAAAGAGGGCUACUACACCUCCCUCCAAAACAAGGAAGCACAGCCCAACACCUGAGGAGGAGGAGGACAUUGUCAGAGAGAGGGAUAAUACCCCUUCUCCUAAGAGAGGGAGACCGGAAACUAAGCAGGACAGGUCAGAUUACAGUGAGAACCCCAGAGAAAAUAGCAGAAGCCCUGUAAGGGAAAGUCCUGCUGCUGAGAGGUAUCAGAGUCCUUCUGAAGCUAAUUGCCGCAGCCCUACCGCUAGUCCUCGCAAUGACACAAGCCCUGUUGAUGACGAUGAUAAUCAUCAAUCCCCAAGAGGGAGCGAGUCGCCUUAAUUUGCCAAAAAAAAAAGAGAAAAUGGUGUUGGAAGGAAAAUAGGUAUCAUGCCCUCUUUUUUAUAUUUGCAGUAGGACAAAAUAGAUCUUGGGGAACUAUGACUAAAACUAAUACAUUUGAAGGCAUUUGUGCCUUUAAAUUAUUGAAUAAUGGUUUUUAAACAUUACUUCAUGCUACUGUCCUCUAUCAUGGUGUGAAGGUAUUGUGUAUUUAGCUUAUCUGAGAUAUGCUCAGACUUGUUGGACUUUAGAGUACUAAUGUUUUGAGUCUAGAAUGCAAUUGAAAUGUGGCUUUUUUUGUA